rnacentral:rRNA from 1 species
CCGAGAGGGACGGCAACCAGGGGAGAUGAAACAUCUCAGUACCCUGAGGAAAAGAAAGAAACAUCGAUUCCCUUAGUAGUGGCGAGCGAACGGGGAAGAGCCCAAACCCAGUAGAUGGAGAAGCCCACAGGCGUUGUCUACUGGGGGUAGAGGGAAGAUGCUGGGAGGAGCUGUGGAUCCUCCGGAGAGUGAAAAAAUGUAUCUCUAGGCGAACAGUCUGGAAAGGCUGGCCAUAGAAGGUGAAAGCCCUGUAGCCGAAAGGGAUACAUCUCUCUGGGCAUCUAUCCCAAGUACUACGGGGCACGAGGAACCCUGUAGGAAUCAGGGAGGACCAUCUCCCAAGGCUAAAUACUCCCUGGCUACCGAUAGCGCAAUAGUACCGUGAGGGAAAGGUGAAAUAGAACCCCGGGAGGGGAGUGAAAUAGAACCUGAAACCGUGUGUCCACAAGCAGUAGGAGAGCUAUGCGGAGGGAUUUAAGCCCUUCGAAAGCUCGACUGCGUGCCUGUUGAAGAAUGAGCCGGCGAGUUACUACCAGCAGCGAGGUUAAGGGGAGAGGACCCCGGAGCCGAAGCGAAAGCGAGUCUGAAGAGGGCGAAUAGUUGCUGGUAGUAGACCCGAAACCAGGUGAUCUACCCAUGGCCAGGGUGAAGCGUGCGUAAAAGCACGUGGAGGUCCGAACCGGUUGGUGUUGAAAAACCAUCGGAUGAGCUGUGGGUAGGGGAGAAAUUCCAAUCGAACCUGGUGAUAGCUGGUUCUCCCCGAAAUUGUUUUAGGGCGAGCCCUAACCAGUAAAUUACGAGGGUAGAGCACUGUAUGGGCUAGGGGCCUUUUCAGGCUACCAAACCCAUGCAAACUCCGAAUCUCGUAAUUGUAAGGUUAGGAGUGAGACUGUGGGGGAUAAGCUCCAUAGUCGAGAGGGGAACAGCCCAGACCGCCAGCUAAGGUCCCAAAAUUAGGCUAAGUGGCAAAGGAAGUGGAGUUCCAAAGACAGCCAGGAUGUUGGCUUAGAAGCAGCCAUCAUUUAAAGAGUGCGUAAUAGCUCACUGGUCGAGGGACUCUGCGCCGAAAAUUCAAUGGGACUAAGCCUAAUACCGAAGCUGCGGGAUUAGCCUACCUUAGUAGGCUAAUCGGUAGGGGAGCGUUCUGCGUUAGGUAGAAGGCGUACCGGUAAGGAGCGCUGGACGAGGCAGAAGUGAGAAUGCCGGCAUAAGUAGCGAAAAAGAGAGUGAGAAUCUCUCUCGCCGCAAGCCUAAGGUUUCCUGGGUAAAGUUCGUCUGCCCAGGGUUAGGCGGGCCUAAGCCGAUGGAGAGAUCCGUAGGCGAUGGAUAGCCGGUUAAUAUUCCGGCCCCAGCUAUACCUGACAAAGACCGAAGGGGUGACGCAGGAGGAUAGGUAGAGCGUGCGAAUGGUAGAGCACGUCCAAGCCAGUAGGGUGCCAGAUAGGCAAAUCCGUCUGGCGGAAAGCCCGAGAGGUGAUGGGGAGGGCCGAAAGGCUCGAAGCUACCGAAUCCACACUGACGAGAAAAACCUCUAAGGGAGGUAUAGCUGACCGUACCGCAAACUGACACAGGUAGGCGGGGAGAAGAUCCUAAGGCGCGCGAGAGAACCCUCGCUAAGGAACUCGGCAAAAUGGCCCCGUAACUUCGGGAGAAGGGGUGCCCCAUUAGGGUGAAGGGUGAAACACCUGGAGCCUGAAGGGGUCGCAGUAAAGAGGCCUGGGCGACUGUUUAGCAAAAACACAGGUCUCUGCUAAGGAGGAAUCCGAUGUAUAGGGGCUGACGCCUGCCCAGUGCUGGAAGGUUAAGGGGAGGUGUUAGCGAAAGCGAAGCACCGAACCGAAGCCCCAGUGAACGGCGGCCGUAACUAUAACGGUCCUAAGGUAGCGAAAUUCCUUGUCGGGCAAGUUCCGACCCGCACGAAAGGCGUAACGACUUGGGCGCUGUCUCGGCGAGGGGCUCGGCGAAAUUGCAAUAUCCGCGAAGAUGCGGAUUACCCACGACUGGACGGAAAGACCCCGUGGAGCUUUACUGCAACUUGGCAUUGGAUUUUGGUGAUGCAUGUACAGGAUAGGUGGGAGGCUGGGAAGCAGGAUCGCCAGGUCCUGUGGAGCCGACCUUGGGAUACCACCCUUGUAUCACUGAAGUUCUAACCCGUGUCCUAAAAGGGAGCGGGGACAGUGCCUGGUGGGCAGUUUGACUGGGGCGGUCGCCUCCUAAAAGGUAACGGAGGCGUCCAAAGGUUCCCUCAGCACGGUUGGGAAUCGUGCGACGAGUGCAAGGGCAUAAGGGAGCCUGACUGUGAGAGAGACAUCUCGAGCAGAGCCGAAAGGCGGGCCUAGUGACCUGACGGUACCGAAUGGAAGGGCCGUCAAUUAACGGAUAAAAGUUACCCCGGGGAUAACAGGCUGAUCUCCCCCGAUAGUCCACAUAGACGGGGAGGUUUGGCACCUCGAUGUCGGCUCAUCGCAUCCUGGGGCUGAAGAAGGUCCCAAGGGUUGGGCUGUUCGCCCAUUAAAGCGGUACGUGAGCUGGGUUCAGAACGUCGUGAGACAGUUCGGUCCCUAUCCGUCGUGGGCGUAGGAUACUUGAGAGGGGCUGCUCCUAGUACGAGAGGACCGGAGCGGACAGACCUCUGGUGUACCAGUUGUUCCGCCAGGAGCAGAAGCUGGGUAGCCAUGUCUGGUCGGGAUAAGCGCUGAAGGCAUCUAAGCGCUAAGCCCACCUCAAGAUGAGGUAUCCCACCGGGGAAACCGGGUAAGGUCCCAGGGAGAAUACCUGGUAGAUAGGCUGGAGGUGUAAGGGCGGUAACGCCUUGAGCCGACCAGUACUAAUAGACCGAGGUCUUGAUAUU